rnacentral:rRNA from 1 species
UACGGAGGGAGCUAGCGUUGUUCGGAAUUAUUGGGCGUAAAGGGCGCGUAGGCGGUUUGUUAAGUCAGCUGUGAAAGUCCGGGGCUCAACCCCGGGAGGCGGAUGGAUACUGCAAGGCUCGAGUCCGGAAGAGGCAAGUGGAAUUCCCGGUGUAGCGGUGAAAUGCGCAGAUAUCGGGAGGAACACCAAUGGCGAAGGCAGCUUGCUGGGACGGUACUGACGCUGAGACGCGAAAGCGUGGGGAGCAAACAGG